UUUGUCUUUAUAAGAAGAGGAAGAUCGACCAGAGCUCUCUCUCUCUUCUCUAGGCAUGUGCUCUGAGAAAAGGUCAUCUGAGGACAAAGUACCCGUCUGCAAGCCAGGAAGAGAGUCCUCGCCAGAAACUAAACCCCGCUGGAAACUUGAUUUUGCGCUUUCCAGCCUCUAGAACUAAUACGUGAAAAACAUUUAAAUCAGAAAGUAAAUAACAGGAUGAUUUGCAAGACACAGAGAUGUAAAAUUAAAAAGCCUCUCGAGCUCCAAAGAAGCAGAUUCUGCUUUGCUCUAUUUGUGAAAGACAACUGGAUGAGUAAAGAUUACUACUUGCAAUGAGACUAGCAAUUUAUCCGGAAUUGGAGACAGAGAAAACAGCAUCUUCUUUUCACUCAUUCUGACUCAAAAUGGGUGUAGCUCAUCAGAGUACAUCAUUACAUUUUCAGGACUUUUGCUACCUGGCUCACAUCACUUUGGUAGCUUGAACUCUGCCAUGAUUGGGAAUAUUUACACCACAAAAAUGGGCUAAUCUCCUAGGAAUGGAUUCUAGGACAGCAUCAGCAU
rnacentral:lncRNA from 1 species